GUAUUUCAAGUUAAACUGACAGGUUCCUUUCCUCGUGGCGGUCUGGUGAAUGAUGGCUGCACACAAGUCUCAGGGAGUAGUGUAGCCUAAUACUUGGAUGGGUUUCCGUGAGGAUCUGUGGAGACAUUU